AUUGAACGCUGGCGGCAGGCCUAACACAUGCAAGUCGAACGAGUGGCGGACGGGUGAGUAAUGUCUGGGACACUGCCCGAUGGAGGGGGAUAACUAAUGGAACACGUAGAUAAUACCGCAUACCAUCGGAUGUGCCCAAAUGGGAUUAGCUAGCAGGUGGGGUAACGGCUCACUCAGGCGACGAUCCCUAGCUGGGCGGAGCGGGUGACCAGCAUAACUGGAACUGGGGCACGGUCCAGACUCCUACAGGAGGCAGCAGUUGGGAAUAUUGGGCAAUGGGCGCAAGCCUGAUGCAGCAAUGCCGCGUGUAUGAAGAAGGCUUUCGGAUUGUAAAGCACUUUCAGCAAGGAGGCGUUACUCGAAGAGAAAGCACCGGCUAACUCCGUGCCAGCAGCCGCGGUAAUAC
rnacentral:rRNA from 1 species